rnacentral:tRNA from 1 species
GGUGGGUGAUCUGUGCUGGUGCACAGGCACGCCUGGAAAGCGUCGCGCGGGUGAAAGUCCGUGGGUUUCGAUUACUCCUCCCACCG